GAGUUCAUGGAUGUCCACCAUUUUGUCCGACAUCGAUCACGGCAACAACACAGCUGUUUAGGGUUUCCCCUCGGCAUUAGUUUUUAAUAAAAUGGUCAAACGAUGUUGUUAAGGCACCUGCAACACUGACAGCAGAUAUAAGGACCGAGUUGAAAACGUCAUUUUUGUCCCUUUCCCGAAGCCAGCUAAGGAUAUUGGAAAAUGUUUACAUUGGAUAAAGUUAUGCGGACGACCACAUCAACAGCUGAACGUCAACAAACUAAGAAACCACGGCACAGCUAAACAUUUCUACGUUUGCUCAAAGCACUUUGUUGAAGGCAAACCGACCCAAGACCACUCUGACCCUCUACCAGCAUCACCUUUUGAUCGUCCAUCAUCUGUAAGGCGCCCACCAAAGCUGCGAAAAGAGCCACAGCCGCCCAGGAAGAGUGCCACUGCUGAAACCAUGAGCGUCAUCAUGGAGCAUCAGGGCCCUACUCCACACACUCUGGACCCUACUCCACACACCCUGGACCCUGCUGCACUCACUCAGGGGCCUACUCCACACACCCUGGACCCUACUCCACACACCCAGGACCCUGCUGCACUCACUCAGGACCUUACUCCACACACCCAGGACGAUGAUGGAUCUGGACUGUUGGACAUGCUGGCGUUGGCUGCUGAAAAUGAUACACUAAAGAUGCAGGUGGCCAAAUUGAUAAUUGAAAAUGAGGCACUUCUGCGUGAACGAGCAACACAAACGAACAAGGAAGAAGAACGAAGAGAAGAUUUUGGUGUGUCGUUCCUACAACAUAGCAAGGACAGUUUUGUGUAUUACACUGGAUUUACAGGCGAACAAUUUGAAGUUCUUUAUGACUUCCUAAUCCCUGUCAGGGCUCGUGUGUUACCCUUUACUAUGACCCGAAAUGUAGGUUCUCAGAAUAGGAUGUCAAUGGAAGAUCAGCUUCUUUUGGUUUUGAUCAAAUUAAGACAGAGUUUUGAUUUCAUGCACAUAGGCAACUUUAUUUAAAAUUUCACACCAAGACGCAAGUUCUCUUUUUAACAAUUGGAUAAACUAUAUGUUUUUUAGAUGCUCCUCCAUCAACAUGUGGCCACAUCGUGAUACAAUUAUUGAAAUGAUGCCAGACAAUUUUAAAAAAUAAUUCCCAAAUACUUUACUCAUACUUGAUACAACCGAGAUUAAAAUUCAGCGCCCCAGCUCCAUGACUCGUCAGAGUCAGUGUUACAGUGAUUACAAGUCUUGCAACACACUAAAAGGACUGGUUGGGAUAGAACCAAGGGGUGGAGUCAUCUUUGCUUCGAUGCUUUUUACAGGAGGAAUAUCAGACAAAGAUCUCACUCGUCAAAGUGGGCUUCUACAAACAUUAAAAGAUUUGAUCACAGAGGGGAAGAUUAAUGUAGGGGAUGGUCUCAUGGCUGACAAAGGGUUUAGGAUAGAGGAGGAAGUGGGGGAACUUGGGCUUCACCUGAAUAUCCCCCCCUUUGCAAGUAGUACUGGUCAGAUGACCAACGCAGAAAUUAAAGUCACAGAGAAAAUUGCUCGCCACCGUGUUCACGUAGAAAGAGCUAUAGCGCGAAUUAAAUCUUUCAAAAUUUUAAGCAACAGAAUUGGCCUUUCCUUGUUUGGAUGUGUAAACCAAAUAUGGUUUGUAUGUUGCUUUUUAACUAAUUUCUUCAACUUCUUAAUUAAAUAAAAGUGUAUACAGGGGGUGCUGUGGUCCAGUGCCUCAUGGACUUUACUUACAUGGUAAGAUGAAGGUGAACCAACAGGUGCUGGUCCAAAUGGUGUCACAACUAACUUUGUAGUGGCUGUGUUGUCUUCCACCAGAUAAGAUAUCGAGCUAGUCUUUAGUCUUUUCAAUACAUUUAUGUCUUCACUCUCAACAGUAAUUUUUCUGAAAAUAGAUAAGAACUUAAAUUACACCUUUUGUACAUAUAUUGACUUAUUGCUUAUUAACGCAAAUCUUAAAAUAUGUAAAGCUGCUACCAACUCAAUCUUUAUAUUUAUUUAUGUAUAUAUUAUCUGUGUGUUUUUGAAUGGUCCUUGGUCUGUCAUUAAAAUUAUACUCUUCAACAACAUGUGGCUCUGUUUUCUGUUCUUUAUAGUAAUGUCAUGUCACAAACCUAAUUUAAACAUGGCAUGCCACCUCUGCAUUAAUGU